AACUGUGGAGGAAUAAGAAGAAAAAGAAGAAGAUGAAGAAUUGGAGGACAGGUGAUAGGCCAAAGCUCGCAGACCGUGGUCAGCGAGCCGGUGGUUAGCGUCACCGGUGGGUGAGGCGAGCUCUUGAAGAACACAAAGAAGGUGAUGUACUCUUGUCGCAUCUCCUUUUACAAUAGCAUUAGCACAAGGAUUUAGCAAUUGCUCUGCCCACCUUCCUUCCUUGUUGCUGCCACUAUUAUAGUUAUUUCCUGUGGAUUUUGAUGCAUUUUUCUUGUUCCCUACUGAUUUCUUCAUCACAGUCACUCCCUCAACAGCUCCACUGCCUUUAUCUGCACUGUUUUUGCUCUGGUUGUUCUGAUUCUUCCUUGGGUUCUGAUGGGUUUGUGAUUUCUUAUGAACUGAAUCAUCUGGAGCUUUUCUUU
rnacentral:lncRNA from 1 species